UGGCUCAGAUGGUAAAAGAAUCUGCCUGCAAUGCAGGAGACCCAGGUUCGAUUCCUGG
rnacentral:tRNA from 1 species